GCCAUUUACACCGUCGAUUUUUUCCCAACCCGACGCCGACCUCCUCUUCAUCUUCCCCAACCGACGGUGCCGCUUCACUUCUCUUCUCCCACGAGUACAAGGCCAUCGGCCCAGGGAAAGCUUUGAGCCUUCCUCUUGCGUCAAUCCCCUUUCCUCUUCCCCUCCUCUUUGCCUACUCGCUCCACCACCCGACAUGCGAAUCGGUGCCAGUCGAUCACCGACCACCGGAGGCUUGAGCUCUCCCAUCUUCACCACCAAGCGCCUCCCCUCUGCCCUAGUUUCACUUAGCACCACUGCUCUCUCGAUCCCACCUUUCCGGCAGAGCCCUAGCUCUCAAUCCACCGUCGACCGAGUGCUCGUUUUCCCGAUCCGAGGUGCCACCUCUGCAUGGCUUUGGUCUUCGGCGAAGGGCGAGGAUAUGAGCCCUAGUUCGGCUGGGGUUGGUGAUGAUCGGCUUGCUGGACAAAUGGUUCUCCUUUUCGUGGCUUAACCUCGAGUAUCCACUGUCGAUUUUUCCCUUGUCAACCCCGAUGGCCAAUUGCUAUGUUUCCCUUUUGCGCAGAGACCAUUGACACUAAGAAUUGGGGCAUCAAAAGGGUCAUGGACCCGAUCAAAUCAGACCACCUUUGGGCUCAAAUCAAGGGCUAAUCAAGUCGAUCAAGCCUCGGAGCAUUCUGGACCGUCCAUUGAAGAUCAAGUAGAUCUGAGCCAUCCAUUGAAGAUCAGGCUCAUCCAACCUAAUGAGGAGUAGAUUUGGUCCAUAGAGAAAGAUCAGUACUGUUGGAUCGGAUUUUAUGCUAUUUUCCACCGUUGAUCAAGAUCCGAUGAUUAUGAGCCGUCCGAUCAGAUUGAAGAUGAUUUAAAAGCUUCGUGAGAAGCUACAGUGCGGUGGGCUCGGCUUCGCGAUUUCUUGCUACAGUAUCGUCUUCUUCGCGCGACGGCCAGCGCUCCCAUUCCCUCAUUCCAGAUCCGUGAGCAAAUUUUCUCCAUCGCCGGCGAUUCCCGAGCUCCGGCGAUCUUCGUCCGAGGCCAUAGAGUGCGGUCGAGGGUGUUUCCCAGUCCGCAGUGUUGGUUCUGCUCUGCCGCAAUCCAGCUCGAGGGUGUUUCCCAGAUUUGGAUCUUCAUUAGUCACCGGAGGACGAGGGCGGUUCCCAGUAGCUCCGGAUUUCCUUUCAUCACCAUUUCAUCAGUUGCAUUUGACUGGAUCUGAUCAGCCAAUCAAGUGUGCACAAUUCCAGAUCCAGCCUCUGUUUUCUCAUGCGUUGAGGAUUCCAGCCGGUUGUGAGCCCGAAGGAUGUUUUCCGGAGGCUAUGAACAUUCAUCUGGAUGAGUAGGAAGCUCUAGAUUCAAAGGUGGUUGCCCGAAGGAUGUUUUCUAGAGGCAUCUCUGUCUUUUCGGCAGAAUGAAGAAGGUUUUGCUAUGGAUUUGGAUGUGGAAUGCUUAGGGUUUAGUUUUUAUUAUCUUUGUCUUUAAAUUGUUCAUCACAUUGCUCAGAUCUUGUGAUCUGAUUAUGUUUCUUUGCAAUUUCUAUUUUGUUUCAUGUUUCCUUAUGCAAUUCUGUUUGUGAUUUCUUGUUUACAAACCCCACCCUUAGACCUAAUUCUGAUUUGUUUUUGCAA